UAAUUCUCCUUGCACAAAUAUAGAUACAGAUCAGAACAACCGCUUACACUUAACCAAACAAAUAACUAUAACCACAUACUAGUACCCUACUACACACUUGUUAACCCAACCCAGGCGUGCAUAUAAAGGAAAGAUUAAAAGGAAUAAAAGGAACUCAGGCAAGCAUGAGCCCCACCUGUUUACCAAAAACAUCACCUCUAGCAUUUACCAGUAUUAGAGGCACUGCCUGCCCGGUGAGUUAUGACUUAAACGGCCUCAGUAUCCUGACCGUGCAAAGGUAGCAUAAUCACUUGUCUCUUAAUUGGGGACUAGUAUGAAUGGCAUCACGAGGGCUCAGCUGUCUCUUAUUCCCAAUCAGUGAAAUUGACCUUCCCUUGCAGAGGUGAGAAUACUUAUACAAGACAAGAAGACCCUGUGGAGCUUAAGUCGCAUAACUCAACACAUACUAACACACAACCUACCAGAACAACCUGUAUAUGCCCCUGAGUUAUAGUCUUUGGUUGGGGUGACCUCGGAGCAUAAAAUAACCUCAGAAUGAAUAUAACCUAGAUUAAUGAAUCUAAGUGUAUCAAUACCAGUAAUUGACCCAUCUCUUGAUCAAUGGAACAAGUUACCCCAGGGAUAACAGCACAAUCCUAUUUGAGAGCCCAUAUCGAAAAUUAGGGUUUACGACCUCGAUGCUGGAUCAGGACGCCCAAAUGGUGCAAUCGCUAUUAAAGGUUCGUUUGUUCAACAAUUAAAGUCCUACGUGAUCUGAGUUCAGACCGGAGAAAUCCAGGUCGGUUUCUAUCUGUAAAUUCAUUUCUCCCAGUACGAAAGGACAAGAGAAAUAGGGCCAACGUCCCCAAUAAGCCCUAGAACCAACAUAUGAAUCAAUCUAUACGAAAUCAAUUUGUGUACUCCCCAAGAACAGGGUUGUUAAGAUGGCAGAGUUGGUAAUUGCAUAAAGUUUAAGCCUU
rnacentral:ncRNA from 1 species